GCAUAUCAAUAAGCGGAGGAAAAGAAACUAACAAGGAUUCCCCUAGUAACGGCGAGUGAAGCGGGAUGAGCUCAAAUUUGAAAUCUGGCUGGUUUACUAGUCCGAGUUGUAAUUUAAAGAAGCGUUUUCGGUGGCAGCCUGGGUAUAAAUCCUUUGGAAUAGGGUAUCAUAGAGGGUGAGAAUCCCGUCUUUGACCUAGUGCAUGCUACUAUGUGAUACGUUUUCAAAGAGUCGAGUUGUUUGGGAAUGCAGCUCAAAAUGGGUGGUAAAUUUCAUCUAAAGCUAAAUAUUGGCGAGAGACCGAUAGCGAACAAGUACCGUGAGGGAAAGAUGAAAAGAACUUUGAAAAGAGAGUUAAACAGUGCGUGAAAUUGUUGAAAGGGAAACGUUUGACACCAGUCAUGUGGGUGGAAAAUCAGUCUUUUGCAUUGGGGAGUUGUAAGGGUUCGGACCGCAAGGCCGGCUUUUGCUUCAUCUUUGGUGUAAGUGAUGCACUUUUUCAUCUACAGGUCAACAUCAGUUUCUUUUGCUGGACAAAACUCCGAGAGAAGGUAGCAGCUUAGGCUGUGUUAUAGCUCUGGAGCGAUACAGUGAAGGGGACUGAGGUUUUCGCAGCGUGUGCUCUCGGGCAAGGCUGGAUGGGUGCUAUGGGAUCGUUCGGGGUACAAUGCCUGGCAUUUUGCUUCGUGUCUUUUCUAUACUCGCUCAACUCAGCUCUUCCACGCUUAGGAUGUUGACUUAAUGGUUUUAAACGACCCGUCUUGAAACACGGACCAAGGAGUCUAACAUAUAUGCAAGUGUUUGGGUGGCAAACCCAUGCGCGUAAUGAAAGUGAACGUAGGUGCGAUCCGCAAGGUGCAGCAUCGACCGAUCUUGAUAUUUUUGGAUAGAUUUGAGUAAGAGCAUAUAUGCUGGGACCCGAAAGAUGGUGAACUAUGCCUGAAUAGGGUGAAGCCAGAGGAAACUCUGGUGGAGGCUCGUAGCGAUUCUGACGUGCAAAUCGAUCGUCAAAUUUGGGUAUAGGGGCGAAAGACUAAUCGAACCAUCUAGUAGCUGGUUCUGCGA
rnacentral:rRNA from 1 species